rnacentral:rRNA from 1 species
UAGGGAAUCUUCCGCAAUGGACGCAAGUCUGACGGAGCAACGCCGCGUGAGUGAAGAAGGAUUUCGGUUCGUAAAACUCUGUUGUUAGAGAAGAACAGCGCAUAGAGUAACUGUUAUGCGUGUGACGGUAUCUAACCAGAAAGCCACGGCUAACUACGUGCCAGCAGCCGCGGUAAUACGUAGGUGGCAAGCGUUGUCCGGAUUUAUUGGGCGUAAAGCGAGCGCAGGCGGUCAAUUAAGUCUGAUGUGAAAGCCCCCGGCUCAACCGGGGAGGGUCAUUGGAAACUGGUUGACUUGAGUGCAGAAGAGGAGAGUGGAAUUCCAUGUGUAGCGGUGAAAUGCGUAGAUAUAUGGAGGAAAACGAGUGGCGAAGGCGACUCUAUGGUCUGUAACUGACGCUGAGGCUCGAAAGCGUGGGUAGCAAACAGG